CGGACGGGUGAGUAAUGUCUGGGAAACUGCCCGAUGGAGGGGGAUAACUACUGGAAACGGUAGCUAAUACCGCAUAACGUCGCAAGACCAAAGAGGGGGACCUUAGGGCCUCUUGCCAUCGGAUGUGCCCAGAUGGGAUUAGCUAGUAGGUGGGGUAACGGCUCACCUAGGCGACGAUCCCUAGCUGGUCUGAGAGGAUGAUCAGCCACACUGGGACUGAGACACGGUCCAG
rnacentral:rRNA from 1 species